UUAAGCGACUAAGCGUACACGGUGGAUGCCCUGGCAGUCAGAGGCGAUGAAGGACGUGCUAAUCUGCGAAAAGCGCCGGCGAGGUGAUAUGAACCUUUGACCCGGCGAUGUCCGAAUGGGGAAACCCAGUGCAAUCCGUUGCACUAUCGUUAACUGAAUACAUAGGUUAACGAGGCGAACCGGGGGAACUGAAACAUCUAAGUACCCCGAGGAAAAGAAAUCAACCGAGAUUCCCCCAGUAGCGGCGAGCGAACGGGGAGCAGCCCGGAGUCUGAAUCAGCUUGUGUGUUAGUGGAACGGUCUGGAAAGUCCGACGGUACAGGGUGAUAGUCCCGUACACGAAAAUGCACAUGCUGUGAACUCGAAGAGUAGGGCGGGACACGUGGUAUCCUGUCUGAAUAUGGGGGGACCAUCCUCCAAGGCUAAAUACUCCUGACUGACCGAUAGUGAACCAGUACCGUGAGGGAAAGGCGAAAAGAACCCCGGCGAGGGGAGUGAAAAAGAACCUGAAACCGUGUACGUACAAGCAGUGGGAGCCUCUUUAUGGGGUGACUGCGUACCUUUUGUAUAAUGGGUCAGCGACUUAUAUUCUGUAGCAAGGUUAACCGUAUAGGGGAGCCGAAGGGAAACCGAGUCUUAACUGGGCGUUAAGUUGCAGGGUAUAGACCCGAAACCCGGUGAUCUAGCCAUGGGCAGGUUGAAGGUUGGGUAACACUAACUGGAGGACCGAACCGACUAAUGUUGAAAAAUUAGCGGAUGACCUGUGGCUGGGGGUGAAAGGCCAAUCAAACCGGGAGAUAGCUGGUUCUCCCCGAAAGCUAUUUAGGUAGCGCCUCGUGAACUCAUCUUCGGGGGUAGAGCACUGUUUCGGCUAGGGGGCCAUCCCGGCUUACCAACCCGAUGCAAACUACGAAUACCGAAGAAUGUUAUCACGGGAGACACACGGCGGGUGCUAACGUCCGUCGUGAAGAGGGAAACAACCCAGACCGCCAGCUAAGGUCCCAAAGUCAUGGUUAAGUGGGAAACGAUGUGGGAAGGCACAGACAGCCAGGAUGUUGGCUUAGAAGCAGCCAUCAUUUAAAGAAAGCGUAAUAGCUCACUGGUCGAGUCGGCCUGCGCGGAAGAUGUAACGGGGCUAAACCAUGCACCGAAGCUGCGGCAGCGACACUAUGUGUUGUUGGGUAGGGGAGCGUUCUGUAAGCCGUUGAAGGUGUGCUGUGAGGCAUGCUGGAGGUAUCAGAAGUGCGAAUGCUGACAUAAGUAACGAUAAAGCGGGUGAAAAGCCCGCUCGCCGGAAGACCAAGGGUUCCUGUCCAACGUUAAUCGGGGCAGGGUGAGUCGACCCCUAAGGCGAGGCCGAAAGGCGUAGUCGAUGGGAAACAGGUUAAUAUUCCUGUACUUGGUGUUACUGCGAAGGGGGGACGGAGAAGGCUAUGUCAGCCGGGCGACGGUUGUCCCGGUUUAAGCAUGUAGGCGGAGGUUCCAGGUAAAUCCGGUACCUUAUUAACGCUGAGGUGUGAUGACGAGGCACUACGGUGCUGAAGUGAUAAAUGCCCUGCUUCCAGGAAAAGCCUCUAAGCAUCAGGUAACACGAAAUCGUACCCCAAACCGACACAGGUGGUCAGGUAGAGAAUACCAAGGCGCUUGAGAGAACUCGGGUGAAGGAACUAGGCAAAAUGGUGCCGUAACUUCGGGAGAAGGCACGCUGAUGUGUAGGUGAAGCCCCUGCGGGCGGAGCUGAAAUCAGUCGAAGAUACCAGCUGGCUGCAACUGUUUAUUAAAAACACAGCACUGUGCAAACACGAAAGUGGACGUAUACGGUGUGACGCCUGCCCGGUGCCGGAAGGUUAAUUGAUGGGGUUAGCGGCAACGCGAAGCUCUUGAUCGAAGCCCCGGUAAACGGCGGCCGUAACUAUAACGGUCCUAAGGUAGCGAAAUUCCUUGUCGGGUAAGUUCCGACCUGCACGAAUGGCGUAAUGAUGGCCAGGCUGUCUCCACCCGAGACUCAGUGAAAUUGAACUCGCUGUGAAGAUGCAGUGUACCCGCGGCAAGACGGAAAGACCCCGUGAACCUUUACUAUAGCUUGACACUGAACACUGGUCCUUGAUGUGUAGGAUAGGUGGGAGGCUUUGAAGCGUGGACGCCAGUCUGCGUGGAGCCAACCUUGAAAUACCACCCUUUAAUGGCUGGUGUUCUAACGUAGACCCGUAAUCCGGGUUGCGGACAGUGUCUGGUGGGUAGUUUGACUGGGGCGGUCUCCUCCCAAAGAGUAACGGAGGAGCACGAAGGUUGGCUAAUCCUGGUCGGACAUCAGGAGGUUAGUGCAAUGGCAUAAGCCAGCUUGACUGCGAGCGUGACGGCGCGAGCAGGUGCGAAAGCAGGUCAUAGUGAUCCGGUGGUUCUGAAUGGAAGGGCCAUCGCUCAACGGAUAAAAGGUACUCCGGGGAUAACAGGCUGAUACCGCCCAAGAGUUCAUAUCGACGGCGGUGUUUGGCACCUCGAUGUCGGCUCAUCACAUCCUGGGGCUGAAGUAGGUCCCAAGGGUAUGGCUGUUCGCCAUUUAAAGUGGUACGCGAGCUGGGUUUAGAACGUCGUGAGACAGUUCGGUCCCUAUCUGCCGUGGGCGCUGGAGAAUUGAGGGGGGCUGCUCCUAGUACGAGAGGACCGGAGUGGACGCAUCACUGGUGUUCGGGUUGUCAUGCCAAUGGCACUGCCCGGUAGCUAAAUGCGGAAGAGAUAAGUGCUGAAAGCAUCUAAGCACGAAACUUGCCCCGAGAUGAGUUCUCCCUGAGACUUUAAGUCUCCUGAAGGAACGUUGAAGACGACGACGUUGAUAGGUCGGGUGUGUAAGCGCAGCGAUGCGUUGAGCUAACCGAUACUAAUGAACCGUGAGGCUUAACCU
rnacentral:rRNA from 2 species